rnacentral:rRNA from 1 species
UCAUAUGCUUGUCUCAAAGAUUAAGCCAUGCAUGUCUAAGCACAAGCCGAUUAAUGGUGAAGCCGCGAAUGGCUCAUUACAACAGCCAUAGUUUCUUAGAUCUUACUUUUCUACUUGGAUAACUGUGGUAAUUCUAGAGCUAAUACACGCAAACAAGCUCAGACCUUACGGAAUGAGCGCAUUCAUUAGAACAAAAACCAAUCGGGCUUCGGUCCGUCAUUUGGUGAAUCUGAAUAACUUUGCUGAUCGCACGGUCUUCGUACCGGCGACAUAUCUUUCAAAUGUCUGCCUUAUCAACUUUCGAUGGUAGUUUAUGCGCCUACCAUGGUUGUAACGGGUAACGGAGAAUAAGGGUUCGACUCCGGAGAGGGAGCCUGAGAAACGGCUACCACAUCCAAGGAAGGCAGCAGGCACGCAAAUUACCCACUCCCGGCACGGGGAGGUAGUGACGAAAAAUAACGAGACGGCUCGCUAUGCGGUCCGUCAUCGGAAUGGGUACAAUUUAAAUCCUUUAACGAGGAUCUAUU